rnacentral:rRNA from 1 species
CACACUACCGUGAAUACGUUCCCGGGUCUUGUACACACCGCCCGUCAAGCCACGAAAGUCGGGGGCACUCGAAGUCCAUUUUUGGCCUAAAGUGAAUCUGAUAAUUGGGGUU